AGUGAACGCUGGCGGUAGGCCUAACACAUGCAAGUCGAACGGCAGCACAGUAAGAGCUUGCUCUUACGGGUGGCGAGUGGCGGACGGGUGAGGAAUACAUCGGAAUCUACUUUUUCGUGGGGGAUAACGUAGGGAAACUUACGCUAAUACCGCAUACGACCUACGGGUGAAAGCAGGGGAUCUUCGGACCUUGCGCGAUUGAAUGAGCCGAUGUCGGAUUAGCUAGUUGGCGGGGUAAAGGCCCACCAAGGCGACGAUCCGUAGCUGGUCUGAGAGGAUGAUCAGCCACACUGGAACUGAGACACGGUCCAGACUCCUACGGGAGGCAGCAGUGGGGAAUAUUGGACAAUGGGCGCAAACCUGAUCCAGCCAUACCGCGUGGGUGGAGGAGGCCUUCGGGUUGUAAAACCCUUUUGUUGGGAAAGAAAAGCAGCAGGUUAAUACCCCGCUGUUCUGACGGUACCCAAAGAAUAAGCACCGGCUAACUUCGUG
rnacentral:rRNA from 1 species